GUUUGCACAACGCCCUACCUGCCCACUCCCCAUUGUGGCACGGAGUUGCACGGCUGCUACAACGUAAACUACCCAGUGUUCUGGCAGUCUGCGCAGGAAGCGGACGCAGCACAGCAGACAAGAAGCGUGGAGCACUAGCGGUCUGUCAGUCCGACUUUCUGCCGAAUAAAAUAGGCUACACAAGAAGCUGAGCAGAUAUCCACUCGGACAGAUCCACGUCCCGUCCCAGUGGUUGAAAGAACAGAAAGAAACGAGAGGACACCUUCACAUGCAUGAAGAGCAACACACAACACAAGUUGAUCCCACCAGAGCAGACAGGCAGGAAGAUGCCCUCUGCUACGGCAGGCCCAGCGGCACAAACAGAGCAGAGAGCAGGCAAAGCCAA
rnacentral:lncRNA from 1 species